AAUCUCACUAUUCAAUGGAGGAGGCGGGUGUUGGAAUGACAUUCAACCAAACCCUUCCCUGCAUUCAACCCCUUUCAGCUGAUCGGGAAAAGACGGGCAGAUAGCUUAAAAUUGGACCCCUCUUCCUGGACGGAUGGCUUUCUAGCUAGCUAGGUUAGAUCUUCAUAUUCGAAAAAUGGCGGCGGAUAGCGUCAACCCGUUUAAUCUGAGCGAUUCUGAAGAUGAGGCAGAGCAGAGAGCCGAGGACGGGGUUGAUACCGAAAGGAGCCUUAGCGAUGGAGCGCCAGGACUCCCGUCCAACAACCCCUUCUCCCCGCAGGCGGACGCCGAGCCCCCGGCCCUUCUGCUGUCCAGCACCCGGACCAGCCCAAGUGUGGAAGGCAUCUCGGUAGCAGCCGCAGCAAUGCCAAGCGGCUUGGCAGAGACUCGGGUAUCUGUAGAUGUGAUUGCUGCUCAGCUAAUACGGGAUCAAUACUUCCUCACCGCUCUUGAAUUUCAUACCGAAUUGUUGGAAUCAGGGAGGGAGCUUCCCCGGUUGCGGGAUUAUUUCUCCAACCCGGGCAAUUUCGAGAGGCAAAGCGGCACUCCACCAGCUUGUAAAGACCAAGGACUGGGGCCAGGUGGACCGCUAAACCGAGCGGGCAGCAUCAGCACGUUGGACUCUCUGGACUUCGCCCGUUACUCUGACGACGGGAACCGGGAGUCGGACGAGAGGGUGGCAGUGCUGGAGUUUGAGCUACGGAAAGCCAAGGAGACCAUUCAGGCUCUACGCGCCAACUUGACUCAGGCAGCAGAGAGCGACACUCAGGAGAGAAACAAGAACUACAAAUCAAAUCCUGAGAUUCAGGAACCGAUCCGCCCACUGGAGAAGCGAGCCUUAAAUUUCCUUGUGAAUGAAUAUUUAUUAAAGAAUGAGUACAAACUGUCGGCCAUCACCUUCUCUGAUGAAAAUGAUGACCAGGACUUUGAGUUGUGGGACGACGUGGGCCUGAACAUUCCGAAGCCUCCCGAUCUAUUACAGAUCUACAGGAACUGUGGAUCCGCCCUUCCGUCGCCGCGGGAUACAGUGGAUGUAUCCGUGGGGGUGGAGGCAGGCGAGCUCACUGGGAACUACAUUGUCCAGAAACCUGAUCUCUUGCAGCAGCAGCACACUGAGAUGGUUGAGGAGUUUGAGUAUCAGAUCAGUCUACUGAACGAGGAAAAACAGAGUCUGGCUUACCAGAUCAAGAAACUACAGAGUGAGAUCCAAAGUCUGAGAAGGACUGUGUCCCCCACUCUUCCUGACCAGGGCUCACAUCUCAACUCCCUCUCCUCCUCAUCCACACCUCCCCCUCCCCGGCCCCCCCUGGACAACGGUCAGUACCUGGACAUCAGGAGAGCCUCAGAACCUGACAAACCCCACACUGAGAGCAACCCCCCUACUCAGACCAUCAGUUCCCCUACACACACCUCUACACAGCCCCAUGCCAAGCUGAAGUGCAGAGAGACGGUGGUGUUUGACCAGCCCAACAGGAAGUUGUCACCAGCGUUCCAGCAGGCCCUGUUGUCCUUUUGUAAGAUGUCAGCUGACAGUCGUCUGGGGGCAGAGGUGUCGAGGAUAGCAGAUAAUGAGGAGAGUGUGAUGCUGAUGUUGGGUCGCUGUCUCCCUCACAUCGUCCCCAAUGUCCUCCUGGCCAAACGAGAGAGAAUGGUUGCACACCUGUGCCAGGAGUUGAUUCCUCUCAUCCUGUGUACGGCAUGUCUCCACCCGGAGCCUAAAGAGAGAGACCAGCUCCUUCACAUCCUCUUCAACCUCAUCAAGAGACCUGACGAUGAACAGAGGCGUAUGAUCCUAACAGGUUGUGUGGCGUUUGCCAGACAUGUUGGUCCUACCAGAGUUGAGGCUGAACUCCUACCACAAUGCUGGGAACAGAUCAACCAUAAGUAUUCAGAGAGGAGGUUGUUGGUAGCAGAGGCCUGUGGAGCCUUAGCAUCUUACCUGCCUAAGGAGAUACGUAGUUCGCUGGUGUUGUCCAUGCUGCAGCAGAUGCUGGCUGAAGACAAGGCAGACAUGGUCAGAGAGGCCGUGGUCAAAAGCCUCGCUAUCAUCAUGGGAUACAUCGACGACCCUGACAAGUACUCCCAGGGUUUUGAGUUGAUGUUGUUGUCCCUCGGUGACCCAUCGGAGAGGGUGGUCAGUGCUAUCCACCAGGUGUUCAUUCCAGCAUUCGCUGCCUGGACCACAGAGCUGGGAAUCCUCCAGACCACUCUCAUCCCCUCUCUGCUGGCCCGCAUAGAGAAACUUUUCAAGCAGGGUGAACAUGGUCUUGAUGAACACAAGCUCCACAUGUUCCUGUCGGCCCUCCAGUCUCUCAUCCCUCCUCUGUUUUCUGUGGUGCUCCAGAACGCUCCCUUCACACAAAGGCUCACCCUGCAGGGAGACAUCCCCCCCAUAGAGGUGACGCGGUUCCCUCGGCCAGCGUCUCCUCUUCAGGAUGUAGCGACUGUCGUGGGCAGCCGGGAGAUGCUGAGCGGCCUCCUCAUCCUCUAUGAUUACCAGCUAGAACAUGAGGGCACUACGGGCUGGGACAGUCUGCUGUGGGUGGUCAAUCAACUUCUUCCCCAGCUGAUAGAGAUAGUAGGUGGUAUUACUGUAACCUCCACUACGUGUGUCCAUGAGUUCUCACGCUUCUUCUGGAGACUCUGCCGCACGUUUGGCAAGAUCUUCACGAACACGAAGGUAAAACCACAGUUCCAGGAGAUCCUACGGCUCUCUGAAGAGAAUGUUGAUGCUUUAACCGGGAAUGCUAUUCUGACCAAGGCUACAGUUCCAGUCUAUGCUUCAGGUGUACUGACAUGCUACAAUCAGGAUGAGGAUCGUAAGCUGCUGGUUGGUUUUCUAGAGGACGUCAUGACAAACCUGUCUCUCUCCCACGCCCCUCUGGACAGCCUCAAAGCCUCCUUCAUAGAGCUGGGAGCUAACCCAGUGUACCAUGACAUGUUACUGACAGUACUGUGGUAUGGUGUGGUCCACACCUCGGCUCUGGUCCGCAGUACCGCUGCAUGCAUGUUUGAGCUGCUGGUGAAGGGGGUGAAUGAGACGCUGGUGGCUCAGAGGGUGGUGCCCGCUCUCAUCACUCUCUCCAGCGACCCAGAAAUGUCAGUUAGGAUCUCUACUAUCCCUGCCUUUGGUACCAUUAUGGAGAUGGUCACACACAAAGAGCUAUUGGAGCGCGUGAAGAUGCAGCUGGCGUCGUUCCUGGAGGACCCACAGUACCAGGACCAACACUCUCUACACAUGGAGAUCAUCAGGACCUUUGGCCGGGUCGGACCCAACACUGAGCCACGCUUCAGAGACGAGUUUGUGCUCCCCCACCUCCACAAGCUGGCGUUGGAUAACAAUGCCCAGACUACAGAGAGGAAGAGGAUAGACAUCGCUACUCAGCUGUUUGAGGCCUACAGCGCUCUCUCAUGCUGCUGUGUCCUUCACCUUCUGUACCACCAACGUGUGUGUGUCCUGCUACGGUGUGUUCAAAACUUAGCUCACCCUUUAUUCAUUGAGGCAAACAGCUACAUGUACUAAGUUGAGUAACUUUUUUUAGAGCCGUUUCUCAGAUUCUGUCUUUGGAAUAACACGACCUAGGUCAAGACUAGGUUACUGUAGUCAGACUAGGUUACUGUAGUCAGACUAGGUUACUGAGGUCAGACUAGGUUACUGGAGUCAGACUGUCAGACUAGGUUACUGGAGUCAGACUGUCAGACUAGGUUACCGGAGUCAGACUAGGUUACUGGAGUCAGACUAGGUUACUGGAGUCAGACUAGGUUACUGGAGUCAGACUAGGUUACUGGAGUCAGACUAGGUUACUGGAGUCAGACUGUCAGACUAGGUUACCGGAGUCAGACUAGGUUACUGGAGUCAGACUAGGUUACUGGAGUCAGACUAGGUUACUGGAGUCAGACUAGGUUACUGGAGUCAGACUAGGUUACUGGAGUCAGACUAGGUUACUGGAGUCAGACUAGGUUACUGGAGUCAGACUAGGUUACAGUCAGACUAGGUUACUGGAGUCAGACUAGGUUACUGGAGUCAGACUAGGUUACCGGAGUCAGACUGUCAGACUAGGUUACCGGAGUCAGACUAGGUUACCGGAGUCAGACUAGGUUACCGGAGUCAGACUAGGUUACCGGAGUCAGACUAGGUUACCGGAGUCAGACUAGGUUACCGGAGUCAGACUAGGUUACCGGAGUCAGACUAGGUUACUGGAGUCAGACUAGGUUACUGGAGUCAGUGGGUCCUAUGCGACAGGGUUAAAAGUUCACUAUUUGUGGUUCUGGGCUUAACUUGCCCUGCCCUGUUUUGUCAUUUUUAUAUAUAUAUAUAUAUGGUUGAAAAAAGUUUGAAGGCACACAAACCUACAGCUAUAAUAGAAAAUUAUUUAUAUGUUUGUGUGCCUUCAAACUUUUCUAGCUGAUGUCAACCAUGUUAUCUAUGCUAAAGGUCUUUGGUCUUUGGCAUCAGCUUUGAUCUUUGUAUAUGUGUGACAGAGGGGUGUUUGUGUGUGUGUGUGUGUGUGUGUGUGUGUGUGUGUGUGUGGUUGCCUAUCCCGUUGGUGAGUGGAAAAAGGAAAAUAAACUCUCUCUGUUUUGGCACUGUAGGCUGAUUACAGGGUUGACUGAGAGAGAGGGAGGGAGUUAGAGACAGACCACAGCCCACAGAGAGAAGGAGCGCGAGAGAGAGAAAGAGACCACAGCCCGCCUUAGAGAGGGAGAAGCCAGGAGAGAAAAUGAGAGAGGGAGAGCUGGCUCCAAGCCUUUGGUCAGAGUUCCCAGCAUAGGGCUCAGUGCGUGGGCAUGCAUGCACGUCCUUCCCUGAAUGCGUUCCCAAAAUGGUGUGGUUCCACAAGGGCAUAUUUCACAGCUCAGAGACCUCCCUAACCUCCUCUUUGGUGACUUUCAUACACCCUUACCCACCACCCACCCAUCACAUACCCACCACCUGGUGACCUUCAUACACCCACACCCACCCACUACCCACCCAGCUGGCUGAGGCUUGGUACCAAGCCUCAACCAGCUGUCUGAGGCUUGGUACUGUGUGAUUAUAGCAGGUUAUACUGGGGGUCUCAUGUAGCUUUGGUCACAGUGGCUAAACCCCUGACAGAUCGCUCACUAUCAGAGUCUGAGGCUGUGACAUCAUCAGUGUGUGACGAGCCAGUGGAAGUACUGUGGCCCUCUGGGUAAUGUAGUCAUGUACCAUCCUCACGAAUCUUACCUACUUGUUAGUGUUUGGUUGUCAAGUGUUCACUGUUGUUAAACUCUGUGUGCUGUAAGUGUUCAGUUGGUCAGUAGGUCUUGUAAAACUGUGUUGGUGUCUGGUUGUCCGAUAUUAGUGUAGUUAAACUCUGUGUUAGUCUUCAGUUGUCUAGUAAAACAUUUAUUUAAACUCUGUUAGUGUUUGGUUGUCCUCUCCUUGACUUCCUGUUCCAGUCAUCUCAGAGGAGCUUAUGGUGAAUCACUUCCUGCCUGGACUGAGGUGUCUGAGGGCGGACAUGGAACAGCUAUCUCCUGAACACGAGGUGAUCCUGAGCUCCAUGAUCAAGGAGGGGGAAACCAAGGUAGAGAACAGAGGGAUCGG